rnacentral:rRNA from 1 species
UUGAUCCUGGCUCAGAACGAACGCUGGCGGCAGGCCUAACACAUGCAAGUCGAACGCUUCAGCAAUGAAGAGUGGCAGACGGGUGAGUAACGCGUGGGAACCUUCCCAGUGGUACGGAAUAGCCCAGGGAAACUUGGGGUAAUACCGUAUAAGCCCUUAGGGGGAAAGAUUUAUCGCCAUUGGAUGGGCCCGCGUCGGAUUAGCUUGUUGGUGAGGUAGAAGCUCACCAAGGCGACGAUCCGUAGCUGGUCUGAGAGGAUGAUCAGCCACACUGGGACUGAGACACGGCCCAGACUCCUACGGGAGGCAGCAGUGGGGAAUAUUGGACAAUGGGCGCAAGCCUGAUCCAGCCAUGCCGCGUGAGUGACGAAGGCCUUAGGGUUGUAAAGCUCUUUUGGCGGGGACGAUAAUGACGGUACCCGCAGAAUAAGCUCCGGCUAACUUCGUGCCAGCAGCCGCGGUAAUACGAAGGGAGCUAGCGUUGUUCGGAAUUACUGGGCGUAAAGCGCACGUAGGCGGACUUGUUAGUCAGGGGUGAAAUCCCGGGGCCCAACCUCGGA